AUAGGAAAAUCCGUUAAGAGAGCUAAGGUGUGAUGAUGAGUGUUAUUUAGGUAGCAUGAAAUGUAGGUAGUCAAGGUGCCAAGAAAUAGCUUCUAAGGUUAGGCUAUAAGGGACCGUACCGCAAACCGACACAGGUAGGUGGGAUGAAAAUUCUAAGGCGCGCGAGAGAAUCCACGUUAAGGAACUCUGCAAAAUACGUACGUAACUUCGGGAUAAGUACGACCUAAGCAAUUAGGUAGCAUAAAAAUGGUCCAAACGACUGUUUACCAAAAACACAGGUCUCUGCAAAUCUGUAAAGAGAAGUAUAGGGACUGACACCUGCCCGGUGCUGGAAGGUUAAGAGGAGAUGUUAGUUUAUUCGAAGCAUUGAAUUUAAGCCCCAGUAAACGGCGGCCGUAACUAUAACGGUCCUAAGGUAGCGAAAUUCCUUGUCGGGUAAGUUCCGACCCGCACGAAUGGUGUAACGAUUUGGACGCUGUCUCAACGUGGAGCUCGGUGAAAUUGAAGUAUCGGUGAAGAUGCCGAUUACUUGUGGUUAGACGGAAAGACCCCGUGAACCUUUACUAUAGCUUGGUAUUGAGAUUUGAUUAAAUAUGUGUAGGAUAGGUGGGAGACUUUGAAGCUAUCUCGUUAGGGGUAGUGGAGUCAAUCUUGAAAUACCACCCUUGUUUAAUUAGGUUUCUAACUUAUAGAAAUAUGAGGAGAGUGCCAGGUGGGUAGUUUGACUGGGGCGGUCGCCUCCUAAAGAGUAACGGAGGUGCGCAAAGGUUACCUUAGAGUGGUUGGAAAUCACUUUGUAAGUGUAAAGGCAUAAGGUAGCUUAACUGUAAGACUGACAAGUCGAACAGAUACGAAAGUAGGUCUUAGUGAUCUGGCGGUGGCAAGUGGAAGCGCCGUCACUUAACGAAUAAAAGGUACUCCGGGGAUAACAGGCUUAUCCUUCCCAAGAGUUCACAUCGACGGAAGGGUUUGGCACCUCGAUGUCGGCUCAUCGCAUCCUAGGGCUGGAGCAGGUCCUAAGGGUAUGGCUGUUCGCCAUUUAAAGCGGUACGCGAGCUGGGUUCAGAACGUCGUGAGACAGUUUGGUCCCUAUCUGCCACAAGCGUUGGAUAUUUGAGAGGAGCUAUCUUUAGUACGAGAGGACCGAGAUGGACGAACCUCUAGUGUACCAGUUAUCCUGCCAAGGGUAAGUGCUGGGUAGCUACGUUCGGAAAGGAUAACCGCUGAAAGCAUCUAAGUGGGAAGCCUUCCUCAAGAUGAGAUAUCCUUUAAGGGUCCUGGAAGAAUACCAGGUUGAUAGGUUAGAAGUGUAAGUAUAGUAAU
rnacentral:rRNA from 1 species